GAUGAACGCUGGCGGCGUGCCUAAUACAUGCAAGUCGAGCGAACAGACGAGGAGCUUGCUCCUCUGACGUUAGCGGCGGACGGGUGAGUAACACGUGGAUAACCUACCUAUAAGACUGGGAUAACUUCGGGAAACCGGAGCUAAUACCGGAUAAUAUAUUGAACCGCAUGGUUCAAUAGUGAAAGACGGUUUUGCUGUCACUUAUAGAUGGAUCCGCGCCGCAUUAGCUAGUUGGUAAGGUAACGGCUUACCAAGGCAACGAUGCGUAGCCGACCUGAGAGGGUGAUCGGCCACACUGGAACUGAGACACGGUCCAGACUACUACGGGAGGCAGCAGUAGGGAAUCUUACGAAAUGGGCGAAAGCCUGACGGAGCAACGCCGCGUGAGUGAUGAAGGUCUUCGGAUCGUAAAACUCUGUUAUUAGGGAAGAACAAAUGUGUAAGUAAAUAUGCACGUCUUGACGGUAACUAAUCAGAAAGCCACGGCUAACUACGUG
rnacentral:rRNA from 1 species